rnacentral:rRNA from 1 species
GGCACGGUGUGCCUGGCCCGCUCCGUUCGGAUGUGAGUGCUGGGUGGCGCCUGCCAUCCGUCUAGAGCGCGGCUCUACCCCUCACGGGGCCGGGGCUUGCCAUCUAGACCUUUUACUUUGAAAAAAUUAGAGUGUUUCAAGCAGGCGUUCUGCUCUGAAUACAUUAGCAUGGAAUAAUCAACGGGACUUCGGUUCUAUUUGGUUGGUUUCUAGGGCUGAAGUA